rnacentral:lncRNA from 1 species
ACUUUACAGAGGAUUAAGGUUCAAUGAAAUCAAGAUGUACAGAGUAUGUGUCAGUAUGUGUCAGACAUCUAAAAAUUCUUGAGAAAGCAAUUAUACUGAGUGCUGUCUAAUAAUAAAUCCAAAUGGACAGCUAUGAUAUGAACUGCAUUUUCUAACAACACUACCCCCACCUGACUCUGCAUUGCAAUCUUUGCUAAACUCUCUGCAAAAGAACAGAUGUUCUGCUUUGGGUUGAGAAAUCAACAGUUACCAUUCAUAUGUUCCAAAAAUUCAAGGGCCUAGUGCUGCUGUUUUAAGAAUGCUAAUUAAUUCCAGCCCUUAUGCUCCAAUAUUCUUGCAGUUUCAAUCAAUUGCAUUCUCAUAGGACUUCGGUCCCCAGUAUCUCCUUUGAAAGUCUAUGGGGAAAAGCAACUAGGAAAUGUACACAUCAUGGACCUGGGGGAGAAAAAGAAUUAAUCGAAUAUGCUCUAAUUUUGUCUAUUUCUCAUAGCGUUAUCAUCGCCAUCCUCUGCUAUAUUGAUUUGAACAGGUCUGAAUGGUGAAGAAAUGAUGGAGCCCAUUUGUCUCAAACAAGGGCUCUAAUGAUACUCAGAACAGAACAAGUCACAACAAAGCUUGCCGGGGAAACUGUACGCUGGCCUCUUCAUGAACCAUUGCUCUCUUUCCCUGCUUCACGUGGCUCAUGUAAUUCAGAAGAUAGACUUCAUUCAAAGAAUGAAAAAUAGGUGAGCCUGAAUCCCGGUGCCUCUCUCCAUCAAUUCAGCAAGCUGCAGAACGUUAUCUGCCUUGAUGGUUAUCGGUUAUUUUGCAUCAACAGGACUCAUGCCCAGGCAAAGUUUGGGAUAACUGAUAGGACAACAGCUCUCACAGAGGGAAAAUCACCAACGUUAUCCCACAUAAUUCCAAGGCAUCAUCAUCUUAAAUUAUUUAAUUUAUAAAUCCAAACAAGAAAGGUCCAUGUUUUACCAUCUUUGAGGGUCAGGUACUACCAUAC